GGCAACUUGAUCAGGUUUUAUAUUUAUUAGUUAUGAUUAUGGUAAUAUGGUUACUGCACUACUGCAGGUUUUCAGAUUGUAUUUUGUUAUGGUUAUUGCUCGUUUUCAAAAUUUCAGGUUUGGCGGUCGGGUAAAAUUAAAGAUUCAUGGGUACAAGUAGAUCCGAAACACAUAUUUUAGACCCAAGAAUAUAUAGAACCGACCCGAAAAAAUCAGGAACCGACCCGAAAAUGUGCCAUCUACCCGAACAUGGACCCGAGAUACUUGGACCCGACCUGAAACAUUAAAGAACCGAAAAAAAAUCGGGUAUUAAUGGGUACAAG
rnacentral:lncRNA from 1 species